UUAGAUCACCGAAGUCAAGCAUCAUUGGGCGUGGUCAAUACUUGGGUGGGUGACCACCUGGGAACACCGCGUGCCGUU